rnacentral:rRNA from 1 species
UUUGACCUCAAAUCAGGUAGGACUACCCGCUGAACUUAAGCAUAUCAAUAAGCGGAGGAAAAGAAACUAACAAGGAUUCCCCUAGUAACUGCGAGUGAAGCGGGAAAAGCUCAAAUUUGAAAUCUGGCAGUCUUUUUUUUCUUCUUUGGCUGUCCGAGUUGUAAUCUAGAGAAGUGCUUACCUGCACUGGACCAUGUAUAAGUCUCCUGGAAUGGAGCGUCACAGAGGGUGAGAAUCCCGUCUUUGACAUGGACCGCCAGUGUGUUGUGGUGUGCUCUCAAAGAGUCGAGUUGUUUGGGAAUGCAGCUCUAAAUGGGUGGUAAACUCCAUCUAAAGCUAAAUAUUGGCGAGAGACCGAUAGCGAACAAGUACCGUGAGGGAAAGAUGAAAAGGACUUUGGAAAGAGAGUUAAACAGUAUGUGAAAUUGUUGAAAGGGAAACGCUUGAAGUCAGUUAUGUCGGCUGGGGAUCAACCUAGCUGUCUUUUGCUGGGUGAAUUUCCUAGUCUGACAGGCCAACAUCAGUCUUGACUGCUGGAAAAGAGCAGAGGGAAUGUGGCACCUUCGGGUGUGUUAUAGCCCUUUGUCAUAUGUGGCAGUCGGGACUGAGGGAUGCAGCGUGCCGCGAGGCUGGGUUUCGACCACGUUCACGCUUAGGAUGUUGGCUUUUAAUGGCUUCAAUCGACCCGUCUUGAAACACGGACCAAGGAGUCUAACAUGCCUGCGAGUGUUUGGGUGGAAAACCCUUGCGCGCAAUGAAAGUGAAAGUUGAGAUCCCUGUCAUGGGGAGCAUCGACGCCCGGACUUGAGCUUUUAGCAAAGGAUCCGCGGUAGAGCAUGCAUGUUGGGACCCGAAAGAUGGUGAACUAUGCCUGAAUAGGGCAAAGCCAGAGGAAACUCUGGUGGAGGCUCGUAGCGAUUCUGACGUGCAAAUCGAUCGUCAAAUUUGGGUAUAGGGGCGAAAGACUAAUCGAACCAUCUAGUAGCUGGUUCCUGCCGAAGUUUCCCUCAGGAUAGCAGAAGCUCAUUAUCAGAUUUAUGUGGUAAAGCGAAUGAUUAGAGGCCUUGGGGUUGAAACAACCUUAACCUAUUCUCAAACUUUAAAUAUGUAAGAACGAGUUGUCACUUGAUUGGACUGCUCGGCG